ACAUGCAAGUCGAACGAAGUAGCAAUACUUAGUGGCAGACGGGUGAGUAACAUGUGGGUAUCUGCCCUUUGGCCUGGAAUAACACGAGGAAACUUGUGCUAAUACUGGAUAAGUCUUUACGGAGAAAGCUUUAUGCACCAUUGGAUGAGCCCGCACUUGAUUAGUUUGUUGGUGGGGUAAUGGCCUACCAAGACUGUGAUCAAUAGCUGAUUUGAGAGGAUGAUCAGCCACAUUGGGACUGAGACACGGCCCAAACUCCUACGGGAGGCAGCAGUGGGGAAUCUUGCACAAUGGAGGAAACUCUGAUGCAGCGAUGCCGCGUGAGUGAAGAAGGCCUUUGGGUUGUAAAGCUCUUUCGUCGGGGAAGAAAAUGACUGUACCCGAAUAAGAAGGUCCGGC
rnacentral:rRNA from 1 species